UACGUAGGGUGCGAGCGUUAAUCGGAAUACUGGGCGUAAAGCGUGCGCAGGCGGUUCGUUGUGUCGGCGGUGAAAGCCCCGGGCUCAACCUGGGAAUGGCCGUUGAAACUGGCGAACUGGAGUGUGGCAGAGGGGGGUGGAAUUCCGCGUGUAGCAGUGAAAUGCGUAGAGAUGCGGAGGAACACCGAUGGCGAAGGCAGCCCCCUGGGCUGACACUGACGCUCAGGCACGAAAGCGUGGGAACAAACAGG
rnacentral:rRNA from 1 species